rnacentral:rRNA from 1 species
AGCGAACGCUGGCGGCAGGCUUAACACAUGCAAGUCGAACGGGCGUAGCAAUACGUCAGUGGCAGACGGGUGAGUAACGCGUGGGAACGUACCUUUUGGUUCGGAACAACCCAGGGAAACUUGGGCUAAUACCGGAUAAGCCCUUACGGGGAAAGAUUUAUCGCCGAAAGAUCGGCCCGCGUCUGAUUAGCUAGUUGGUGUGGUAACGGCGCACCAAGGCGACGAUCAGUAGCUGGUCUGAGAGGAUGAUCAGCCACAUUGGGACUGAGACACGGCCCAAACUCCUACGGGAGGCAGCAGUGGGGAAUAUUGGACAAUGGGCGCAAGCCUGAUCCAGCCAUGCCGCGUGAGUGAUGAAGGCCCUAGGGUUGUAAAGCUCUUUUGUGCGGGAAGAUAAUGACGGUACCGCAAGAAUAAG